GCUCCGAGACGUGUUUUAUCAGGCGCCGAUUGUCCGUGUCAAAUUAAAAGAAGUCCUGUCACAAUAAAGAUUAACGAUGUCGUUUCUGGGGUUGUUUCUGCGGGGGAACUCGGCGACUGCACGAUGAGCGGCGGCGAAGUGUGCGGGACAAACUGCGCUCAGGGUUUCGGACUCUUAACUGCGGACUCGUGUUUUUAAACUUGUUUACGUCGAAGCGCUGUCGAGGGGAGGAAAGUCGCAUCUGUAGAUCAGCUGAUGCAGCCAGGUGAACUGCAGGCGGAUGGAUGAAUGGCUGAAGUUGGACGGACGCUUUCUAGUCUCGCUGUUUGUCUCGUAUUGCACCUCCUCCUCCUCUUCCUCCUCCUCCUCCUCCUGUCUCCCUCCAUCGCGGUCGGUCUCCUGCGGCCUGUGAGCGGAUGAAUGCCAGAGCCUGUGUUUCUUCUACCAUCGCCAAAAGGACUCCAUGUCUUUCUUGGACUGUUCCUGCAUCUCCCACGCUCAGGUCCAGCCCUUGGACAUAGAGGAGCGCUAUGAGGACACCAGCCACCAGUUCCUGGUCAGUAGCCGAGACACUGUCAGCACGGAGACAGGCGUCACACUGAAGCUCUUCCAUCAUUUCAUCACUAUUCAUUUAUCAUCAUCUAUGUGGAGCUGCUUAACCCUUACCUUAGAGACCGUAACUACUGGAUUAGUAUCGCAGCUGUUAGAGCUGUUGGUAACUCUUAAAGGGGUACUCCACCUGUUUAACUAAUUGGGGGGACUCACCAGAGACAGAUUAAAGCAAGAGCAGUCACAAUUGGUGUAACAGAGGCCAAGAUGUCCUGAUUUCAUGUCCUCCCCAUGACGGCUCAAGCUCCACAAACCGUGAAUACUACAACUCCCAUAAUGCAACUUGUUUUGUUUUUCAUUGGGACUUUUUUCUAUGGCUGCUGAGCGCCCUUGUCUCUCAUACUCCCAAUCAAUAACACAGGCUUUUUGUAAUGAAUUUGUAAUGAAGUCUCAAGCCCGAGUCCAGAUAACGCAGAUGACAUCACUGUGACAUC